rnacentral:rRNA from 1 species
UGGGGAAUUUUGGACAAUGGGCGAAAGCCUGAUCCAGCAAUGCCGCGUGUGUGAAGAAGGCCUUCGGGUUGUAAAGCACUUUUGUCCGGAAAGAAAUCCUUGGCUCUAAUACAGUCGGGGGAUGACGGUACCGGAAGAAUAAGCACCGGCUAACUACGUGCCAGCAGCCGCGGUAAUACGUAGGGUGCAAGCGUUAAUCGGAAUUACUGGGCGUAAAGCGUGCGCAGGCGGUUUGCUAAGACCGAUGUGAAAUCCCCGGGCUCAACCUGGGAACUGCAUUGGUGACUGGCAGGCUAGAGUAUGGCAGAGGGGGGUAGAAUUCCACGUGUAGCAGUGAAUGCGUAGAGAUGUGGAGGAAUACCGAUGGCGAAGGCAGCCCCUGGGCCAAUACUGACGCUCAUGCACGAAAGCGUGGGGAGCAAACAGGAUUAGAUACCCUGGUAGUCCACGCCCUAAACGAUGUCAACUAGUUGUUGGGGAUUCAUUUCCUUAGUAACGUAGCUAACGCGUGAAGUUGACCGCCUGGGGAGUACGGUCGCAAGAUU